ACUUUGGCUGGUUCGAAGACCGCAAAACGAAUUUUACUCAAGUUACGUGGUUCAAAUACAAAGCCAAAAGCAAUUUUUGUUACGACGGUCACUGUUUAUGUAUUUACUAGCAAAUUCAGUAACUUUUACGUGCAAUUACAUUU